UUUAGAUGGAGUCUCACUCUAUCACCCAGGCUGGAGGACAGUGGCACGACCUCAGCUCCCUGCAACCUCCACCUCCCAGGUUACUGAUGGAUCCGUCCUAAAUGCCAUCCAUCUCAAGACAGAGGCCCACAGAAGUCAAUGUAUCUUCAAGAUGGGAGUACCUGGAGAUGGCUGUAGAGACCAUGUAGCAGGAAAUGGUGACAGAGAAGAGCUGGGCCUCUGGUACCAACAUGCUUCCCCCCCGUUACAGCUAUGCGGGCUGAUAGUGACGCAAUGUGUGGUUUCAAUACUUCAUAGUGUCUUACUUCACCUCAGUAUAAAGUACUUUGAAAGCAUCAAGGAAAUGGUCCUCAAAAAAGGCUUAUCCAGUCAGGACAUCUGGUGCUGGCUCUGGAAUGAGUGGAUGAAGAUAAGGCCUUCCAGUAUGGAGGUGAUAAAAAUCAGGGAAGACAGGUAAUCACAAUGGAUGACAGACCAGGAUUCCCAGAUAUCUUGGCAUGGCUGGAACAAUGUACAGAUCAAACCAUGUAAAACUUAAUGGGUAUAAACCAACUCUUCACUUUGGUCUAAAAAAGUCCAUUUGCAUGGCUUCUAGUUAAAGGUGGACAGGCUCACUUUAGAAUCCUAUUAUAUACAAAGGAUUUAGGGGGUUUAGUUCACAAUGUGCUAAAGCCAUCUCACAGUGACCAUGGUAUGAGCUGUGUGAUUUGGUUUAAAUAUAAUAGAGAAUGAAGGACAAGGUUGAGGGUGGUGGUUACAGUCCUGCCUGAUUCUGUAGUGCUCAGGUGACCUUUGAAGAAUGAAGAAAGAAGUCAAAACCCCACACUAUUAAGACAUUGGAAGACUGGGAAUGUUUAUUUUCUGAAGAAUAAAAGAUGUAGGAAACAUGAGCUGUCUUGAUAUGUUUAAAUGGUUGUCAUAAGAAGGAAAAAUUCACAGACUUGUUCUGGGUAGGAGCUAAAGAAUGAUGUGUUUUUGCCAAUCUAAAGGUGGAAUUUUUAAACUCUGAGCUUACCGGUAUUGAAAUAAGCUAUUCCAGAGGUCAAAAGCUUCUCAUCAUUAUAUGGUCAAAUAGAGUUUGGGUCACUAUUAGAAACAAAGAUUUGAAAUGAAAUUUCAAGUAUUGGAAGAGGACUUUUUUAAACUCUUAGAGUCUAUAAUUCAAUGAUUGAGAUGUAAUUCACUGGAACCUUCAUUUAAAAAAUUUAUUUUGCUGUUCCAAUAUUAUAUGACAGGACUAAUUGAGUUCAAUAAACAUUUAUUAAAAUAUUUCCUGUAUAACAUCUUAUGCUACACACAGUCCCUAAUCUUUAGAAGUUAAACCUGAGGAAACUGCACACACAGACAUCACUGUAUACUCGCAUAAGUAGUAUAAUAAAGGAUAGUAAGGAGGGUCAGGGAGAGGAAAACAAAAAAGGCUAAUCUAGGAACAGUAUUUGGCCAGGUUUAUAUGGUAAAUGUGACCAAACAACAACAACAACAACAACAACAAAACAAAACAAGCUUGUAUUAGAAAUUGGAGAUUUAAUUUGGGGGAUAGACUGGAUUCAGUGACAUCAGUCCCAUAUCCUUUAGCUUUUCUACUUCCAGAUCUAAACUUUGACCUUUGGAGUACAGGAUAUCAUAGCGAGGUCCAACAAAGUCCUUAAUGACUAGGUUCAGGAGUUACUCAACGCAUCACUGUAUUCUAAGGCAGAGAAGUGCACACCACAAUAUUAGAAACAGUACUACUGGCUAUCUGCUAUUCUUAAAGAAACAUCACAUUCACUUUGUCAUGUUUCCUAAGCAAUGCGGUUAACCAGCAGGUGGUGAAGAUUGCAACACCCUUCUCUUGGAGAAAACUUUAUUUUCCUAGUAUUACCUCAAGUUUCUUAAAAAUGAAUAUUUCUUAUCUGGUAUGUCAUUUUCCUGGUUGAGACCAUUGUUGAACAUUUAAGAAGUCUGGACUUGGUGGCCAAACAGUUAUCUAGGCAAAGGCUCUGACUUGUUACAUAGCCAGUCCACAGAUAAACUCUUCAAUUUCUCUAGUUUCUCAUGACAGUAACUCCCACCUCAUUCAUAAUUUAAAAAUACUUAUUGAGUGCCUUCUGGGUUCUAAAGCUGUAACAGUAAGCAAGAUAGUCAUAGCCACUAACUGUUUGCAAGGCAAGGGUGUUGAAAUUGUAGUAUACUAGUGAUUAUGUGUAAAGAGAUCAGUAAAAUAUAACUAAUAUGCUGGAAACAUUAAAAAACGGUGGGGUGGGAAAUAAAGGAUUAUUUCACAAAUGCUUGUCUAGCAAUUGAUUAACCUUUUGGAGAAAAAUAAAAUAAGAACCUCAUUUUGCAAUGUAUUCCCGCUAUGGUUAGAAUAUGUUCCCUUCAAAAUUCAGGUGUGGUUGAUGUGGUAGUAUUAAGAAGUGGAGCCUUUAGGAGGUAAUUAUGACAUGAGGGCCUCUUCCUCAUAAAUGGGAUUAAAAACCUUAUAAAAUAAGCAUGGAGUGUUUGGGAACCUGCCCUUCUGUUGUAUGCCUGGUGAGGAUGCAGGAAGAAGGCCCUCACUAGACCCAGCACUUCGAUCUUGAACUUCAUAGCCUCCAGAAUGAUAAGAAAAUAAAUUUCUGUCCUUUAUAAAUUACCCUGUCUCAGGUAUUCUGUUAUAGUGGCACAAAUUGACUAAGAAAACUCCAAAAUAAUUCUUAUAUGAAUUAAAAAUUAAAUCAUAAAGAAGAAAGCACAG
rnacentral:lncRNA from 10 species